GAAGGAAUUGUUGAAGUGAGGGACAAGAUAGUAAAAUGACCAAAAGUGAUUCCACUCCAAGCUUGACAAAUGGCACAUUUAGAACCAUGGAAUAAAUUACAAAAAUAAAUAAAUAAAUAAAUUCAACCAAUUCUUCUACCUCUUGCUGAAAAUCCCCCCCCUCUCCCUCCCUCUCUCUUUAGUUUUCUUUCUCCUCUCUCUGUAUAUCUAUACAUCUAUAUAUACAUAUGUCUUGCAAACCUUGAUUUGAAAGAGUUAUAGUAAGAUUUUGGAGGUGACCAAAAAAGGGAAUGUAAUAUUACCAAUCAUAUAUAUAUAUAUAUAUAUAUAUAUAUAUAUAUAGAUAUAUGUUUAUAUUAAAUGUAAUAAUUGUUGCCGUGAGCCCCACAGGGGCUUUAGUCAUUAUAAUGACCAAGGGGUCAUUACCAUAACCAAUUUUCUCUCUCUCUACGCGGCUGUCUUCUUUCCUCCUCUGCUUUUUAUUUUUCUUUUUCAUUUCACAAUUUCAAGCUUCAAUUACUCACUCAUCUUUUGAAGAUUUUUUAUGCCGUUUGUGGCAAAACGAAGAACUUGUCGAGAUCUACUCAUGGGUGUAAGCAAUUUAUCAUUUGGUGCACCCUAGGAAAUUCGAAAAUUAGGAUUCAAAUUGGAGAUUUUCAUCAUUUUGAGGGAAAGUUGGAGAGCUUGGAGAAGUCUUCCAUUUGGCACCCAUAUUGCUAGGGCUUGGAAGGUUUUUGAAAUUUGGGGCUUGCAAAGGCCUUGUUUGGUUUACUAUCUUGAGGAAGGGAAAGUUUAAAUUAUGAGUCAUAUGGUUUUAGUAAGCUUCUACGUAUAUUCUUACUUGAAAUCUUGUUGUUGUGCAGCAUGCUUAGUUUUGUAGAGACUUGGGUUGUGGUGUUCAAGCAUGAUAUAUGGUUGAUUUAUGUGGUUUGAAAUAUGGCUAAUGCGUUUUUAUACUAGUUGUGCAUAACUUACUAAUUUCUAUGUUGAAAUGCGGAAAUAUAAUUUUUAUGAUUGUCUUAUGUUUUGUAUAUCAUGUAUAAUGAUGUUGAUUUAAAUUCAUGAAUAGUAUUUUGACAAUUAAUAGCAUAAAUUUCAAGUAUUUUUCAUGGGGAAAUUGGGCUUACGAAAUUGAAGUCGUGAUGCGGGAAUGAAGGAUGAGAAGGGAAUUGAGGUUGUGGUUUAAGUUGGGUUGAGAAGUAAGAUGAUGGUUGUGAAAGAUUUGAUGAGAUUUAGGUUGGAAGGAAAGAGGAGGGCAAUUGCAUCUUAUGUGUUGAAAUGAUUUAUGAAUUUAAUGUUUGAAGUUAUGGUUGACAUUCCCAUGACCCAUUCUUCUUAUUCUCCUCUUCUUUGGUUGUGGUUCACGGGAUUAUUAGGAAUGUAAUUUAAGCUUUUUCUAUUGAGCUGUUGAGCUCACCCUAUUCUUAUUAACAUUUUUCAAGAAAUUUAGAGAUAAACCGAUGAAUUAUAUGCAUCUAUGGAUAUUGAUGUAAUUAGGAUUUCAUUUUAUUUAUAUUAAAGUUAUGUAAUUUUGGCCAUGAAGGCCUCA